UUUUCGAAAAUUCUUCUAACAUGAAAGUAGAGAGAGACAAGUGGAAAUAAACAUGAAAGAGUUAUAGCAACUUCAUAUUAAGGGUAAACCUCAAUUAGAGACCUUAAACCCAGUAUGAGAGUAAUCUUAUAGUCAUUGAAACCAGCUGUAGAAAAUAGCAUACCUCAUUUAUCUUCCCGCCUCUCUUUUCCAUUGAUCACCAUCAUCAUCAACGUGCUAUGAAGUUUGGACACAGACAGGUGCAGGUUUCACACGACCUGACACACGGCUUGCGACAUGGCCAUGUGACCUUAAUUCGAAUAUCCACACGGGCGAACACACAGGUUGGGACAUGGCCAUGUGUCUGUAUUUCAAACGACCACACAUGGAUAUUAUGUUAGGACUUCAGUAAUCUAUGAUAGUAGAACUUUGGAAGGUAAUCAGCAAACAUAGGAUCAGGUGGCAUGCGGGAUGUAACACUCCAAAACUAGCCUAGACGUUAUGGCUGAAUCUGGGAGUGCUAUGAAGAAAAGUAUUCAAAACAAUCUUGUUAUGUUAAAAUGACUAAAAUGGAAUCCACAUUUUAUCAAACAUAUUAUUAUUAUCGUUAAGGAAAA